rnacentral:tRNA from 1 species
GCCGGCUCAGUCGGUGGAGCCUGAAACUCUUGAUCUCAGGGUCGUGGGUUCUAGCCCCACACUCGGCA